rnacentral:rRNA from 1 species
UACGAAGGGUGCAAGCGUUACUCGGAAUUACUGGGCGUAAAGCGUGCGUAGGUGGUUUGUUAAGUCUGUUGUGAAAGCCCCGGGCUCAACCCGGGAGGGUCGUGGCGAACUGGGAGGCUUGAGGCCGGUAGAGGUGGGUGGAACUCCUGGUGGAGUGGUGAAAUGCGUAGAGAUCAGGAAGAACACCCGUGGCGAAGGCGGCCCACUGGGCCGGUACUGACGCUGAGGCACGAAGGCGUGGGGAGCGAACGGG